rnacentral:tRNA from 1 species
GGCUCGAUAGCUCAGUUGGGAGAGCGUCCGCCUGAAAAGCGGAAGGUCAGCGGAUCGAUGCCGCUUCGAGCCACCA